GUAGGUGGCAAGCGUUGCCCGGAAUUAUUGGGCGUAAAGACGCGCGCAGGUGGUUCUUUAAGUCUGAUGUGAAAGACCCCCGGGCUCAACCGGGGAGGGUCAUUGGAAACUGGGGAACUUGAGUGCAGGAGAGGAAAGUGGAAUUCCACGUGUAGCGGUGAAAUGCGUAGAUAUGUGGAGGAACACCAGUGGCGAAGGCGACUUUCUGGCCUGUAACUGACACUGAGGCGCGAAAGCGUGGGGAGCAAACAGGAUUAGAUACCCUGGUAGUCCACGCCGUAAACGAUGAGUGCUAAGUGUUGGGGGGUUUCCGCCCCUCAGUGCUGCAGCUAACGCAUUAAGCACUCCGCCUGGGGAGUACGGUCGCAAAGACUG
rnacentral:rRNA from 1 species